rnacentral:tRNA from 1 species
UCCCCUGUAGCUCAGCGGCAGAGCAGAGAGCUGUUAACUCUAAGGUCACUGGUUCGAUCCCAGUUGGGGGAGC